rnacentral:rRNA from 1 species
AUACGGAGGGUGCAAGCGUUAUCCGGAUUCAUUGGGUUUAAAGGGUGCGCAGGCGGACUUGUAAGUCAGUGGUGAAAUCCCGGGGCUCAACCUCGGAACUGCCAUUGAUACUGCAAGUCUUGAGUUUGGUUGAAGUGGGCGGAAUGUAGCAUGUAGCGGUGAAAUGCAUAGAUAUGCUACAGAACACCGAUCGCGAAGGCAGCUCACUAAACCAACUCUGACGCUCAGGCACGAAAGCGUGGGGAGCGAACAGGAUUAGAAACCCUAGUAGUCC